CAUUGUUUUGGACUGUGUUCCAUACUUGGCUGUCCCAGAGGUUGAUCUCACCACCAUUCAGAGAUCCAAGAAGAAGCCACUCGUUGGAUUUAAGAAAACCCAGUCACCAAUAAUGUGGAAUCCAUUUCGUGGAGACAAGCUACUUUUAAUCAAAAAUUGUAAGACAUGAGAGCGCCUAUCUUCUGAGGACCUUGAGUUUGACAUCUUGGACUUACGUUGUUUCCAUCUUCAGCAUCAAGAGCUCAGCAUGCACAGGUUGGUGACACAUGCAUAUUCUGGUUUCCCCUAUCC
rnacentral:lncRNA from 10 species